rnacentral:rRNA from 1 species
AUUGAACGCUGGCGGCAGGCCUAACACAUGCAAGUCGAGCGGAGCGGCGGACGGGUGAGUAAUGCCUAGGAAUCUGCCUGGUAGUGGGGGAUAACGUCCGGAAACGGGCGCUAAUACCGCAUACUAUCAGAUGAGCCUAGGUCGGAUUAGCUAGUUGGUGGGGUAAAGGCCUACCAAGGCGACGAUCCGUAACUGGUCUGAGAGGAUGAUCAGUCACAUGGGAAGGGAGACACGGGGCAGAGGCCGGCGGGAGGCAGCAGUGAGGAAUAUGGGACAAGGGGCGAAAGCUGGACCCAGCAAGGCGGGGGGUGUGAAGAAGGUGUUCGGGUUGAAAAGCACUUAAAGUGGGGAGGGGGUACAAACAGAAGAAGCACCGGAUAACUUCGUGCCAGCCGCCGCGGUAAUUC